UAUGUACAUGUUUACAGCAUAACCUUAAUGCAUCGGAUCCCAUUAGAACUCUGCAGUUAAGUGUGCUUGGGAUAGAGUAGUAUUAGGAUGGGUGACUGCCCAGGAAGUCCUAAUGUUUUACAUGC
rnacentral:rRNA from 1 species